GAAUGUUUUAAAAUUUGCACUGUAAAGAAAAUUUAAUUCAUUGACUCCUGCAUCAGCCAUAGCAAGCUCUGAUACUAGAAUCUGGUAUUGUGUAAACAUAGUCGAAAAUAAUUUUUUCUCUGCUCAUUUGCUGCAACUUCUAUAGCAUUUAAGUGUGAAAUGAGAAAAAAGAUUUGAUAUUCACGAAAAUAGACUUAUGAGAAAAACAUUUAGCCAUUUAGUUGGUUUUUGAGACUAGAAAUAUAUAAAGCCAAAUUAGAAGGUUCUGUCUUCUGUUUUUAAAGUGAGUAAAGUAUCUGAUAAAGCUAUUUCUUUCUUUCUUCCCUAAUUUUUCUUUUAUUUAUUGGAUUUACUUUAUAUAGGCUUUUUAUAAUUUAUUUCUAUCUGAAACAUGUAAUUACUUCAUAGGCAUAACUUAAAUGUUAUUAUAUUUAACCAAUUUGACAUGUAUAAGCAAAUCAAUAGAUUGAUAACACUUUGAGAAAAAUGAAAUUAAUGAAAUUAAAAAAUCUUCCAUGAAAAUGACAGCUUAAUAAUUUUGAAUAAUCUUUGUUAUCUAAGUAUUAAACAUCUUACUUGUUUACAGCAAAUGGAUUUGUGUCCCAGCAAAAUAAAAUGUAUUUCCACUAGAGGAAAAGUUUUGUUGUAAGGAACUUGCAAGCCAAUGAAAUAAAUGCACAGCUGCAUUUUGAAUAACUUUUCUGUAUUAAAUAAGUGUGCAAGUCUCCACAUGUUAAUGUGCAAUAAAUGAUAUCAUAGUAAAUUUUAUUUUACCUUUGCCAUUUUGAACAGCAGAAUUUAGGUGUAAAAUUUUAUUUUCUAUAUCUUUAAUUUCUGGCAGAUUGAUACCUAGACAAUAAUGAUGCAUCGUAUCUACGAAUUCCUUGAUAAAUCUGAAUGCCACAUCUAAAAUUUCUACAUUUAGUGUUUUAUUGGUGUUCCUAUCUAAAAUUACUUCUCAGUUUAUUUUAAAGGGAAUUUAUUGGAAUAUCAAGCAAAUGAUCUAAUCUAGAAAACAUAAUCUCAUUGACAACAUUCUAGCUGCAUCAAAACAAGUCAAAGGAAAGUUCUGUUUCACACUGUUGCUACUUACUCUUAUCAGUGCACUUCUACUACUUUUCGCUUUGCCAUUCAGAGAUAGAAAAAAAUGCUUAUUCAAACCCAGAACAGUACCUAAAUUAUAUGAAAUUAUUAAAAAUAUUGAAUUGAAAUCUGCAUGUCAAGAUCAGACUGCAUUUUUAUAAAUCUUAUGAUUUUAGCAACAUUUUGUAACCAAAAAAAAUUUUGAAUUUUUUGAAACUUUUUUUAGGAUUAAACUGUAAAAGUAAGUAAAUAUUACACAUUAUUUAAGUGCAUUCUGAUGCUGUUUUUAUUAAUUUAGAUUCUAAUUCCUUUGAUAUGACCUCCAUGCGGAAGUCUUUAUCAGCUGAUGUUUAUUCUCAGUCUGCACCUCAAGAUGAAGCAAACUCUUUAGAUAUAUUACUAAGUCCAGACUCUACCUUGAUUCAAUUCGAUGCUUCAGCAGUUCGGUCCAGAACUCUUGGCAAUCCAUUCCAAGCAGCAAAGCCAUCACCAAUGACUAUUAAUGAAAUCAGAGCUCAGAAUUCCCCUCAGGCAUUUCCUAUGUCUGCAGAAAGUAAUCUUCCAACAUCUACCAGCAUGCCUUUGCAGAGUGUGCUGCACACAAAUGCCUCCUAUGUUAGUCAAAAUACCUCAGUAUCGCAAAAUCCUUUCAUGUAAUCACUUAUCUGUAUUUAGGUUUCUUCUAAGUUGCUGAUUUUUGUGUUAAGAGCACUUUUAAGUUAUGAUUUAGUUCACUGUGGUUGUCAUUUUAUUAUUAAAGUAAGAAAUCAGUUUUUUUAGUUUUUAUAUUAGAAUACUUUUUAUAUCUAUAUAUGCGUUAUGUAGUGUUUGUUGUGAGACUUCUGUUUUAUGAAAUAUUAAGGACAGAAAAUAUAUGUUUUGUGUAAAUGCUGGUUUUAAAAAUAAAUGGAGCAAUAAAAAUCGACAUUUAUAUUUAUAUAUUUAAAUAUUUUUAAAAACUUUUAUCAAGAUAUAUGUGCUAUUAAAUAUUGCAUUCUAUUUAUUUUUGCUGUUUUUUCUUUCCCUUUCAUAUUUAUGCAAGAAACAAAUAUAGGAGUGGCCAGCCUUUCAAAUGUCAUUGAGUCAGAAUUUAUUUGCUGCUAUAAUAAAAGCAUUUGUAAAAAUAAUUUUUUUUUAAUAUAACAAGCAUUCAUUUUUAAAACUCGCUGCUGUAUAAAUUACAGUUAAAAUAUGUAGUUCUGAAGAUUUCUCAUUAAUUUUAUUAAGUAAAAUUGUGAUUAAGAAUUUCAGGAUUAUGUAAACUAAAAAGUCCAGUAUAGUAUUAUAUUGUAAAAUUUGUAAUGGACGCUUGUAAAAAUGUGAGUUUUGGGUAAGGUAUUAUAAAAAUUUUGGUUUCUUAUUUCUUUAAAAGACAUCCUAAUCAUUUUUAACCUUUUUAUUUGUCAUAGCUGCCACCUGUCCUAGUUUUUCAUCACAUCUCCUGGUCUUCCAGUAGAUACCAAAUUUGCUGGUUUUUAAUUUUUAGCUUUAAAUGAGGAAAGUGUUUUUCAGCAAUAAAUGAAAUUAGGUGAAUUAAUGAAACUUGAAUUGUGCAAACUGCAUUAGCAAUUUUCAGUAAAAUUUUUAUUCCUAAAUUGUGUUUGAUCUGUAUUAGACAUUUGUAAAAUUUUAUACGAAGAUUGAACCAAAGUUUAAUCAGUUAAUAUUUGUAUUUGUUUUGAAUCAAUAUAUGAUACAUUACUAAAUUUAUCUGCACAUUAAUUAUUAAUGUUGUAAUAGUUUGCUCAUUAAUUAUUAAUGUUGUUUUCAAAUACUUUGAUAAAUUAAAUUUUUCUUUCCUUAUUCAGGAUUUUACCAGCAUAAAGGUGUAAGAAAAUUGCAAACUUAGCCAAAGAACAUAAAAUUUAAACUUAUUAUAUAUAAAGGUGCGGCAAUGACACAGGAUUUUGAAACCUCCACUAGCGGUACAAAUUUAUUUGCAGCAAUAUAAAUUUACAAUGCUUGCAAUUUGUGAGGAAUGUUUCUGAACAACUUCCAUAUCUUGCAUAGAUGUGUCACGGUACAAAAUGUCCAUCACUUGAAAAUCACGUAAUCCAUCACUUGACAUCACGUAGGUGGCCCUUUUUCCUUCAUGCACAUUCUAAGACUUUUAUGGAAGUUAUCCAUCAUAUCUUGCAGGACUGGCAUUGGAAUUAAUUAACUUCAUCCCGAAUUUGAACUUUCAGUUUGUGGAUGGUAUGAGGUGGGUCACACCGGAAGGUCUCAGAUUUCAAAUGAACCCAAAGGAAGAAGUCGCACACUGAAAGUUCAGGGAAUCUUGGAUGCCAAGAAAUGGCUCCAUUUAAUAGAAAUCUGCAAAGUAUGGUGUGUGGCACCAUGUUGUUGUAAGAAUGUGUUUGCAGUUACAGGAAGAUCAACAAGCUGCCGCACUAGUAAAUAUUUCAAUGUAUGAGCAUAACAUUAUUUAUUCACAUUAAUGUGAUCAUCUUAAAAAAAAAAAUAAUAAUAAUAAGGUCCGAUGAUUCCAAAUGAUGAUAUGCUGCACCACACUGACACUUUCUGACUUUGAAGUGGCUUUUUAUGAAGCAUUUCAGGAUUUUCACAGGAUCAGCAUCUAGUUUUGCUUGUUAAAAAAGCCUGACACAUAAAAAUUGACCUCAUUACUCAUCAUCAUUCUCGCAAUGGCCUGAGUUGUCGUUCCGGUAAUUCCGGCAAAAGCCUAGUCUCUUUGGAUGUUCUCCACAUUCAGUUUUUGCACUGUCUGCAUUUUUUAUGGGUUGUAUUGCAGUUCCUUGUGCAGUGUUUGCCGUACAUUGCAUUCCGAUAUAUCAAUACUCCGAUAUAUAUAUAGUUGCAGUGCAUGCUUGCGUGCAGAACGCCUGGCACUUUGGUUGAAAACUUCUUCCACUCUUGCCACAUUCUCUGGUAUGCACAACCUUUUUGCACUUCCACUCCUCUUUCUAUGCUGCAUGGCCACAUAGCUGUUGUUUUUGUAAAUGCCUUCAUGGCAAAAAGCACGUUGUUUGCUGGUCCUUGAUGCCAUCUCGACUGAACACCAAUAUCAGUAUCAAUGGCUAAGGUUUAUUGUCCAUAUGGCACCACUACUGCUUUUUGAUUCCUAAUGUAACUUGCUAUUUCCAAGAUUGCCAAAUUGCCCAUUUCAUUAUAAAGCAAAUUAAGACAAUCUGGAAUUCUUUUGAAAUAAUGCUGCCAUGCGGCUUGGGGGGGGGAACCUCUUGGUAACUUACGGUUUUUAAUGUAAGAAUAUUGUGGUGUUUUAUAUUUCAAGAUUGGUUGGCACCUGUUAUAUAUAUGUGUGUAUGAUAUGAUGUUUUUUUUUUUUUUUUUUUUUUUUUUUUUUUAUGGAAAGAGGAAAUCUGAAUUAUGUUUGAGUCAUGGCUUAGAUGCCACGACUGCUUGAUGAUGAGAUUUGCGUAGAUCAUAACUGGGGUAAAAAUCACAACUGGCUUGAUGGUUAAGACAUUUUUUACAGCACCAGUUAUUCAGAAAUAUUAAAACUGGGACAACACAAGCAGUGUUAAGCAUGCCCCACAGUUUCAAUAUAUGUAGUUUACAUUUUAGGCACUGAAAAAGAAACCGAAGUGAGAAACACAGUGUGCUCAAGCAACACCAAGUGUAAAAAAGCACUGCAUACUCACUUCAUUUUAUUUGUAGCUGGAAAGUCAUUGUGUUAAUCCUGAGCAGCAACUGGGCUACAAAUGUUGCAUUGCAGAGAGAUUGCACAGAAAGAUGCGAUGUAGUGCGUGGCAAAGUGACACAGCGAAGCGUCACUCUCUAAGCAGGCCUGCAUUUAAUUCAAAUUUAUGAAUUGUAAGAUCGAUUGCCAGUUGAUUUCAGUUAAGUUUAAUAAUUUUGUUUCAUAUUUUAUAUAUAUAUUUAUAUUGUAUAAGGAUUGUAUUAUAAGUAGUUGAAUAACCUAAUUUAUGCAUUAUAAAGCAAAUUAAAAUAAUUUUUAAUUCUUUUGAAAUAUGGGGUAAAAAAACCCUCCCAGUAACUUUCGGCUUUUAAUGCAAGAAUAUCCUGGUGUUUUAUAUUUCAAGGUUGGCAGCUAUGAUCUGUGAGCAAAGGAUGAAAACUUUGCUAAAAUAUGAUUAAGAAAACUGGAGGUAAAACAGUGAGUGAAAUACAAGAAUUCCAAUAUCCUCCCCCUCAAAAAAAUUGUUGAGACAAUAAAUGAAAUAAAAAAUUACUAAAAAUAAGCAUUUUUCCUCAUUUGUAUUAUUCAAUUGCAGAUAUUGAAUACAUAAGAUGCUCUUUACAUAAAAAUGAACAGUACAUGUCAAAUGUUAAGUUCAGUAAAUAGCACAAAUAAAUUAAAUUCAAUAAAAAAUGUUAAAGACCAAAAGGUUAUAGCUUUUCUCUUAUUCAGAGAUUAUUAUGAAAAUAUUUAGUCCUGGUGAAAGAGGACUUGCUGUCCAUUAAAAUGCAUUAAGCUUCCUGAUACUAUGCCAAACUUUUUUUAAUUGACAUUAAUUCUAGAUAAAAUUGGUUUAUAAAAAAGUACCUAUUACAAUUCGUUAGUGAUAUUGAUUUUAGUCAAAUACUUUUAAUCAUAUUUUGGAGCCUUUAAGUUGUAAUAUCAAAAGUAUUUUCCUAUGACCCUCUCAAUAACUCAAAAGUAUUUUAAAGUUAUAUUAUUUGUUGUUUUUUUAGAAGUUCUGUAAGUAUUCAUGAAUAAUUGUUCUUCUGUUAACCUAGUAGAGUUCCAAUUAAAGAUGCUUUCUUUAUAUAGAUUUUAUUGUUUGUAAUUAAAAUUUUCAGUUUUUUCUUUUUGCAUACAUAUUCAUUGCCAUAAAUUGCAAACAUGUAAGAGAAAGGACAGAAUAUUUUCUGUGAUAUGUGCAGCCUUUUAUGCAUCAUUUCAAAAAUUAGUAAAUAAUGUAAAGUUUGUAUUAUGUAAAAGUUUAUAUGCAUUAUGUAAAAGUUUGACCACUUCUGCUGUAAUACUUAGAGAAAAUGUAAAAUUAACCCAUCUUCUUAAUGUGUCUCCCUUGUGAGGGAAUAAUUUUUCACUAUAUAUGUUCUCUUUUCUCCUAUCACUUUCAGUGCACUCUUUUUAUUUAACUCUGUAUUCUGAUUCAAACUAGACUUUUUUUUUUAUUAUCUUCUAGUAGUAAAUUGUAUAUAUUACUAGUGAGAUGGAAGUUUUGUAAAAAAUAUCAAUUAUCAAUUUCUUAUAUCAUAAUAAAGUAUUUGCAUAAUUGUGUUUUAUGCAAAGUAUUGGCUAUAAGCUCACGCUUAUAUUUUCAUUUGAAAUACAAUAUGUAAAAUGAAUUUUAUGAAGAAUCUCUAUGCAUUUUAAAAACUUGAAAUAUGUAAAUUAAGCUGUGCAAUGAUUACUUUGCUCAUAGUAAGUGUUUUGCUUUAAUUCUUCAGAAUUGGUCCAGAAGAAUAAUUAAUUUUUAUAUUAUAUAUAUAUAAUGAGCCAGUAUUUUUUGACAUCUAUAGUAAGUUAAGUUGUUAAUGUGAAACAUUUUAGAGUAACUAGUAGCAAAAUAAAUUUUUGCUGUAUAAUAAAUUUGGAAGUUUUGAUGAUGUUUAAAUGUUUUUGCAGUUAAUGUUAUGUAGUCUUUUAUGACCCCUUUUGUUUAAUAUUUUAGCAGUGUUUGAGAAUCUUGUGUAUAAUUGUCUUAUUAAUAUAUCACAUUAACACAUUACCUAUUAUGAUAUAAUGGUUGCACCAUAUAGAAAAUAUUGCAUCACUUGAAAUUGCUUCAUAGAGUUUUAUGAAAUUACAGCUGAAUGAUAACAAGCUAAUUUUCAUCCUCGCAAAUGGAAUUACAGUAUAGUAAAGAUUCAGAUUUAUACUGUGACAUGAAAGUUAUUGGUUUUAAUUGGAACUUUUAAAUAGGUAAGCUUUUUAAUAAUUAAUGAAGAGUGGUGCAAAUCAUAUUUAAAUUUGAUAAAAUAAUAUAUUUAAGAGGUGGGGGUAGAAAGGUGUGAGGAGAAUUUAUAAAAGAAACAUUUUAAAGUACAAUUUAACUUAAACCAAAGAAUAAAUUUGUUAAAUAAAUGUUUAUUUAGGGUGGAUAAGAGGGUGAUGGAUGUUUUAGAAAAGUGGGAAAGAGUUGCAGUGUGUCUCAAUGUUUGGUACCUGAACUUUUUAUUUUGGUUCUUAUAACUAUGGUUUAAUUCUUAGCUUCUAUUAAAUAUAUUUUGAUUACACUUUUUAUAUGUAUAUUAUGAAAAUGUUUUUCACUUAGAACAGGCUGUAUGAUAUGUGGCUGUACUUAUUAAAAUACUUAAUUUUUAAUUAUUUAUAUUAUGCAUAAUUUCUUUGCUGAUUAUAAUCUUUAAUUGUUUCCAGGAAUGUAAUAUAGGAAUGUGCAUACAACCUGAAAAAAAAAAUGGUUUUUAAUUUUUUUUUAAGAAAUAAAUAUGAGUAAAAUGAAGUGAAAAAUAAAUCUAUGACAUAUUUCCACACUUCUUUCUCUUUAGAACUAUAGAACACAUAAUAUAUUCCAGGUGACACACAAUUUCUUGUAUUUAAAAAAAAAAAAAAAAAAUGGUGAAAUUUGUACCUCAAUAAUAAGCGACUUUUUAUAGCAAAAUAUGAUAUUUAAUAUUUACCCGGUUUUUAGUUUUAAGCUAAGCAAUUUUUUAUAUUAUUUAAAAUGCUAAAAAAAAGUGCUGCAUAUAUUAUUUUUUGUUGUUUUUAAAUGUAAAAAUAUGCUGCAUGUAUUAUUUUGUGUUAUUUCCUGUAAUGUAAAUAUAAAUAAACACUGCAAUUUUGAUAAAGAAUGGAUAUGUGCUUACAUUUGAUAAACUUAAUGGAAUGUACAUUUGAAAAACUGUAUGCAUGAUUGUGUUUUUUAAACAUCUGAAAACGUUUUUAAAAAGUGCAUUUUUAUGAAAACGGGCAUUUAGCAUUUCUGAUUUCUGAGCAAAUGUUUCAUUUUUUGACUGAUAUAGAAAUGCUUUUCCUUGUUUCUUUUAUAUAUAUAUAUAUAUUUAAAACAGAAAUAUUUCUAACAAGUAACUGGCAUAUUUUAUCAAGACUUAUUAUAAAUUGAGAAGUAUUGUUUUUUAAUUAUAUAUCACAUAUUUCAAAUUUUAAGAUAUUCAGUAAUUUAAAUGAAAAUUCUUUAAAAUGCAUAUCACAGUAUAAAUUAUAGUUAUGUAGAACUGAACCUUUUGAUACAAAUUUCAGUAAAAAACAGGCUUGGUAAAAGCAUGUAACCACAUCUUUGUCAGGUGUAUUAAUGAUUUUUUUCAAUUUUUGUUAAUAAUAGAAUCUUCAUUUGAAGAAGUUUUGCAGUGAAUUUUUGCAAAAGGUUAUUUAAAAAUGUAGUUAAACACUCUUACAGUCAUACAUGUUGUAUGUUUUAUAGGCAUACUGUGUUAAAUCAAAAGCAAAAUUAUAGUUUAAAAGGAAGAAUAAACAUGAGAGAUGGAUGUAGGAUUAGUAAUAACCCAUUUGCAUCAUUUAGUUAGCAUAAAAUAUUUGUCAUAAGUGAUCACAGAAAUAAGAGCAGUGAUUCAAGCAGAACCAUAUAUAUUCAUUUAUCAAGUACAGUAUGCUAUUCCUAUAGAAAUUUUACACAAAAACUUUGAAGAUUAUUUUUCUGUAAUCACAAACAAGGGAAUAAUUUUCAUAUGUUUUUAUUCUGAACUAACUUAAUUUGAAUUGAAUUGAUCAUACUGUGCUUUUCAAUGUUUGCAUAUUUACUUUUUAAAAUAUUUUCAUUAAACUCAGUGCUUGACUUAAUAUCUUCUUCUGGUUUUUUGUUUUUUUGUUUUUUUUUACUGCUUGAGACAGGAAAAAAAGUUAUUGCAAGUGAUACAAAGGCUACAUAUAUAUAUUUAAUUCACUGACUACCUCUUUAUAUCUUAUAAAAAAUAUGACUCAAAAACUUAGUUUAUAUGCAAAAAAUCUGUGUGAAAGAAUAAUUGUAAAAAAUUUAGAAAAUUAUGUAAGAAAAAUUGAACACUUUAAAAGAAGAGAUUAUCAUAGAAAUGCUAAUAAUUCUGGCAUAUUUGAUUCUGAUUUGAAAAAAGACAAAAUAUAUAUCUAUUGAAACUUUCAUGGCUGUAGUAUUUAGAAUUGAAAUCAUUCUAAGUAUUUUUGGGUUUGCAAUCAAAUUAUCUGUCUGUCUAUCAGCUCAAGUAAAUUUCAGAGUAUUUCUUUCUUUGAUGCAAAUGGGUGAACUUUUUAAAAUGUACAUGCUUCUUUCCCUCUUAGUUUAAUAAAUGUGUAAUAAACAUACAUUUAAAAACUGUUCUACCUUCUGCUAGGUUCUGAAGAGUUUUCCUUGUGUAUAACAACUGAUUAUGUACAUUGUUCAAAAUAAACUGAAAUCUGUUUGUGAAAAAUUACAAAUUUCAUCAGUUGUUCAAAUAAACUGAUAUUUGUUUGUGAAAAAUCACAAAUUUAUAACUUGCUGAUGUAUUUGUAUCUGAAUCUAGCUCCGUAGCUUAGUGUGUACAAUAUAUAUUGUUUAACUUUAAUAAUUGCAGUACUCUGAUGAGGUUUUUUAAUAUGCUCUGUAGAUUUACAAUAAGAUUUCUUAUAUAUUUAAUGAAGUUUAAUAAAUAAAUAAAACUCCUGUUAAAUUUA